UCUGGCUGUUAACAAGAAGCCUGUAGGGGAGGCAGAGAGACCAGCUGGAGGCUAUCAGCCCUGCCGGCAGAGAUCAGGAUGCUGUGACCAGGGCAGGAAGCAGUGGUUCUCUUCAAAGCGGUUGCACUGGGAAUGAGCCGUCUCAGCUCUGCUGCAGAACGAGAGGACUCAGCUGCCACCGAAGCAGGCAUCCGUGGAAGGUGUUGCUAUCCUGACAGAG